CCUACGGGUGUCAGCAGUGGGGAAUAUUGGACAAUGGGGGCAACCCUGAUCCAGCCAUGCCGCGUGUGUGAAGAAGGCCCUCGGGUUGUAAAGCACUUUCAGUGAGGAAGAACGCCUGGUGGUUAAUACCCAUCAGGAAAGACAUCACUCACAGAAGAAGCACCGGCUAACUCCGUGCCAGCAGCCGCGGUAAUACGGAGGGUGCGAGCGUUAAUCGGAAUUACUGGGCGUAAAGCGCGCGUAGGUGGCUUGAUAAGCCGGUUGUGAAAGCCCCGGGCUCAACCUGGGAACGGCAUCCGGAACUGUCAAGCUAGAGUGCAGGAGAGGAAGGUAGAAUUCCCGGUGUAGCGGUGAAAUGCGUAGAGAUCGGGAGGAAUACCAGUGGCGAAGGCGGCCUUCUGGACUGACACUGACACUGAGGUGCGAAAGCGUGGGUAGCAAACAGGAUUAGAUACCCUGGUAGUC
rnacentral:rRNA from 1 species